GUGGGGAAUCUUCCGCAAUGGACGAAAGUCUGACGGAGCAACGCCGCGUGAGUGAUGAAGGUCUUCGGAUUGUAAAGCUCUGUUAAUCGGGACGAAAGAGCCUAGUGUGAAUAAUGCUAGGAAGUGACGGUACCGGAAUAGAAAGCCACGGCUAACUACGUGCCAGCAGCCGCGGUAAUACGUAGGUGGCAAGCGUUGUCCGGAAUUAUUGGGCGUAAAGCGCGCGCAGGCGGAUCUGCCAGUCUGUCUUAAAAGUUCGGGGCUUAACCCCGUGAUGGGAUGGAAACUACAGAUCUAGAGUAUCGGAGAGGAAAGUGGAAUUCCAAGUGUAGCGGUGAAAUGCGUAGAGAUUUGGAAGAACACCAGUGGCGAAGGCGACUUUCUGGACGAUGUCUGACGCUGAGGCGCGAAAGCUAGGGGAGCGAACGGGAUUAGAAACCCCUGUAGUCC
rnacentral:rRNA from 1 species